rnacentral:rRNA from 1 species
UACGUAGGGUGCGAGCGUUGCCCGGAUUUAUUGGGCGUAAAGGGCGCGCAGGUGGUUCUGUGUGCUCCGCGUGAAAUCGCCCGGCUCAACCGGGCGGGGUCGCGGAUGACUACAGACUGGAGCCUGGGAGGGGGAAGCGGAAUUCCCGGUGUAGUGGUGGAAUGCGUAGAUAUCGGGAGGAACACCGGUGGCGAAGGCGGU